CUUCCUUUCGGCCCCCAGUGCCUCCUCGGGACGAGACUUUGGAGCGGGAACCUCGGCUAGAGGGCUUCUUGAAGAAGCUUGGGGGACUGCUGGCUCGACGUCGGAGAGGGCAUCAACGAUAAUGGCUGCCUGGGCAAGCAUGGCCGAGCUUGUCUCUUCUACCCUCGCCUUCUUUGCCAAUCCAGAAGUUGCGGUGCCUUUCUUCUUGUGGGCCUUGAGACCCUUGGC
rnacentral:lncRNA from 1 species